rnacentral:rRNA from 1 species
CUGGGCGUUAAGUUGCAGGGUAUAGACCCGAAACCCGGUGAUCUAGCCAUGGGCAGGUUGAAGGUUGGGUAACACUAACUGGAGGACCGAACCGACUAAUGUUGAAAAAUUAGCGGAUGACUUGUGGCUGGGGGUGAAAGGCCAAUCAAACCGGGAGAUAGCUGGUUCUCCCCGAAAGCUAUUUAGGUAGCGCCUCGUGAAUUCAUCUCCGGGGGUAGAGCACUGUUUCGGCAAGGGGGUCAUCCCGA